GGUAAUUUAGUUUAUAAAAAACAAAUGUUUUGAAAGCAUUAAUUAGAUACUUUAGUCUAAUUGCCA
rnacentral:tRNA from 1 species